GCCUGGAUAGCUCAGCUGGGAGAGCGACAGACUGAAGUUCUGCAGGUCGUGCGUUCAAAUCGCGCUCCGGGCA